rnacentral:rRNA from 1 species
AACGAACGCUGGCGGCAUGCCUAAUACAUGCAAGUCGAACGAACACUUCGGUGUUAGUGGCGCACGGGUGCGUAACGCGUGGGAAUCUGCCCUUGGGUUCGGAAUAACAGUUGGAAACGACUGCUAAUACCGGAUGAUGACGUAAGUCCAAAGAUUUAUCGCCCAAGGAUGAGCCCGCGUAGGAUUAGCUAGUUGGUGAG